UUUUGGUUGUUUGCCUGGUCUCUUGCUGGGUGGACGGCUACUAGUCUGGUGGUUUCGGGGAAUGCUAACCGUAAAGGUGCGUGAGUGGUGUUUGGCGUGUUACGGGUGGUUGGAUGUCUGCUUGUGCAGCAACGUCCAUUUGUGCACGCCUCUUCAUUGGUGCGACAAGGUCUUCAUGCCCUUGAGCAUUCGUCGGGUUGUCUGUGUUGCCUACCUAAAUGACGGUAUCGUAUCGUCCAUCAAUGUCCCUUUUCAUCGUGGGUCGUUUGUGCGGCUCGCGGUGAACCUUGAAGCGGUCUCUUUGAUCCAUCUUGUCGACGCUUGUGCGUCUUCGAUGUGGCUCGUUGGGCACGGCUUGGUUUUUCGGAUACGGAAGCUUUUAUGGGCAUGCGGUCUUUUAUGAUUGCUUGUUUGCCCUUAUCAAGCGUUCUCGCUUCUUUGAAACGACCGUUGGUCACGUCUCGACAUGUUCGUGCGUGGCCGAUGACGUCGAAGAGGGAUGCUACCUGGUUGAUCCUGCCAGUAGUCAUAUGCUUGUCU
rnacentral:misc_RNA from 1 species